rnacentral:rRNA from 1 species
CAGGGAACUGAAACAUCUAAGUACCUGGAGGAAGAGAAAGAAAAAUCGAUUUCCUGAGUAGCGGCGAGCGAAACGGAAAGAGCCCAAACCAAGAAGCUUGCUUCUUGGGGUUGUAGGACACUCUAUAUGGAGUUACAAAAGAAAGUUAUAAAUGAAGCGGUCUGGAAAGGCCCGCCAAAGACGGUAACAGCCCGGUAGUUGAAAUGGCUUUCCCUCCAGAGUGGAUCCUGAGUACGGCGGAACACGUGAAAUUCCGUCGGAAUCCGGGAGGACCAUCUCCCAAGGCUAAAUACUCCCUAGUGACCGAUAG